rnacentral:rRNA from 1 species
CCCUUAGACGUUCUGGGCCGCACGCGCGCUACACUGACCAGUGCAACAAGCAUCCGUCCUUGGCCGACAGGCCCGGGCAAUCUUUGAACGCUGGUCGUGAUGGGGAUAGACUUUUGCAAUUUUUGGUCUUCAACGAGGAAUUCCUAGUAAACGCAAGUCAUCAACUUGCAUUGAUUACGUCCCUGCCCUUUGUACACACCGCCCGUCGCACCUACCGAUUGAAUGGUCCGGUGAAGCCUCCGGAUUGGCGCGCGCCUCGGUGCCGCCGAGAAGUUGGCUAAACCUUACCAUUUAGAGGAAGGUGAAGUCGUANCA